UACGGGGGGAGCAAGCGUUGUUCGGAUUUACUGGGCGUAAAGGGCGCGUAGGCGGUCAGCACAAGUCAGUUGUGAAAUCUCCGGGCUUAACUCGGAAAGGUCAACUGAUACUGUGCGACUAGAGUGCGGAAGGGGCAACUGGAAUUCUCGGUGUAGCGGUGAAAUGCGUAGAUAUCUGGAGGAACACCGGUGGCGAAGGCGGCAUCCUGGACCGAUACUGACGCUGAGGAGCGAAAGCCAGGGGAGCAAACGGG
rnacentral:rRNA from 1 species